UAGGGAAUCUUCGGCAAUGGACGAAAGUCUGACCGAGCAACGCCGCGUGAGUGAAGAAGGUUUUCGGAUCGUAAAACUCUGUUGUUAGAGAAGAACAAGGACGUUAGUAACUGAACGUCCCCUGACGGUAUCUAACCAGAAAGCCACGGCUAACUACGUGCCAGCAGCCGCGGUAAUACGUAGGUGGCAAGCGUUGUCCGGAUUUAUUGGGCGUAAAGCGAGCGCAGGCGGUUUCUUAAGUCUGAUGUGAAAGCCCCCGGCUCAACCGGGGAGGGUCAUUGGAAACUGGGAGACUUGAGUGCAGAAGAGGAGAGUGGAAUCCCAUGUGUAGCGGUGAAAUGCGUAGAUAUAUGGGGGAACACCAGUGGCGAAGGCGGCUCUCUGGUCUGUAACUGACGCUGAGGCUCGAAAGCGUGGGGAGCAAACAGG
rnacentral:rRNA from 1 species